rnacentral:rRNA from 1 species
UUCUACAGCCAUGCCACCCUGAAUAUGCCUGAUCUCGUCUGAUCUCGGAAGCUAAAUAGGAUCGGGCCUGGUUAGUACUUGGAAGGGAGAUCACCUAGGAAUACCAGGCGCUAUAGGUA